rnacentral:rRNA from 1 species
GUGGGGAAUAUUGGACAAUGGGCGAAAGCCUGAUCCAGCCAUGCCGCGUGUGUGAAGAAGGUCUUCGGAUUGUAAAGCACUUUAAGUUGGGAGGAAGGGCAGUAAGCUAAUACCUUGCUGUUUUGACGUUACCGACAGAAUAAGCACCGGCUAACUUCGUGCCAGCAGCCGCGGUAAUACGAAGGGUGCAAGCGUUAAUCGGAAUUACUGGGCGUAAAGCGCGCGUAGGUGGUUUUGUAAGUUGAAGGUGAAAUCCCCGGGCUCAACCUGGGAACUGCCUCCAAAACUGCAUGACUAGAGUACGGUAGAGGGUAGUGGAAUUUCCUGUGUAGCGGUGAAAUGCGUAGAUAUAGGAAGGAACACCAGUGGCGAAGGCGACUACCUGGACUGAUACUGACACUGAGGUGCGAAAGCGUGGGGAGCAAACAGGAUUAGAAACCCGGGUAGUCC